UGCUAUACAUGCAAGUCGAGCGAAUGGAUUAAGAGCUUGCUCUUAUGAAGUUAGCGGCGGACGGGUGAGUAACACGUGGGUAACCUGCCCAUAAGACUGGGAUAACUCCGGGAAACCGGGGCUAAUACCGGAUAACAUUUUGAACCGCAUGGUUCGAAAUUGAAAGGCGGCUUCGGCUGUCACUUAUGGAUGGACCCGCGUCGCAUUAGCUAGUUGGUGAGGUAACGGCUCACCAAGGCAACGAUGCGUAGCCGACCUGAGAGGGUGAUCGGCCACACUGGGACUGAGACACGGCCCAGACUCCUACGGGAGGCAGCAGUAGGGAAUCUUCCGCAAUGGACGAAAGUCUGACGGAGCAACGCCGCGUGAGUGAUGAAGGCUUUCGGGUCGUAAAACUCUGUUGUUAGGGAAGAACAAGUGCUAGUUGAAUAAGCUGGCACCUUGACGGUACCUAACCAGAAAGCCACGGCUAACUACGUGCCAGCAGCCGCGGUAAUACGUAGGUGGCAAGCGUUAUCCGGAAUUAUUGGGCGUAAAGCGCGCGCAGGUGGUUUCUUAAGUCUGAUGUGAAAGCCCACGGCUCAACCGUGGAGGGUCAUUGGAAACUGGGAGACUUGAGUGCAGAAGAGGAAAGUGGAAUUCCAUGUGUAGCGGUGAAAUGCGUAGAGAU
rnacentral:rRNA from 1 species